rnacentral:lncRNA from 1 species
GGCACAAUGGGGUGGUUCCAUGGCCCAGAAGCACUCUAGCUACAGAUUAGAAUGAUGACAAGAGUAAUACCUUCCUAGUGAAGAUGACUUUUAUUUCAGGACUAUAUUAAGUUUCCCAACUUCUGUCAUGAUAUAGUCCAAAGAGAACCUGGACCACGCAGACAUCAAACAGAACAUGACACUGACCCAUUCUAUCAGUGACGUUGUGCUGAUUGCACAGGACAGAUGAGAGGCUCGUAUACUAGAAGUCUUGGUGGUUAUCAAACCUGGGUCAAAGUUGAAUCACCUGAGGAUCUUUUAGAACAUACACAGUCAUAUGAUACUUCAAAAUCUGUGAUUCCAUGAAGCCAAGAGUAGCUCUUCAACAGGAAAUGAAUGAGUGCUUCAGCUUCUGAUCCCAUUAGUAAGAAAAUACAGUCUUAUGAGCAAUGAUGGAGCUGCAUCUCUUAGGGGCAUUUGAUUCCCAAGAGACCAAAGAGCAAAGAGAAUGUCAAUUUAAAAAAAUCAAAUGUUUCCAUGACUUAGCUAUUUAACUGCUUUAAAAUGAAUGAAUGCUGCUUCAAGUUCUUUCAAAUACCCCACAUCUUGGCAACAACGAAAGGAAUUAACAUGAAGAAAAUUUACAAUCUUUCAUCACAUCGAACAAUGUCCCACAUUUGAAAAGUUCACAGCACAGAUUUCUGGUUACUGAAAGAAAGGAAAGACCUUCUUUGGAUUUGAAUAAACAGAUGGACUUUCUUCUCCUUUUUCUUAUAGUGCCCGAUUUGUGUAAAGGGAGGUGGGAAGAAAACAUCUUAGCUUAAAAGAGUGUCCUAUAAAAUAAAAGGUUUCAUACUUGCCUAUA